GUGCUUGCUUUGGCAGCACAUUACUAAAAAACCUCUAACAAUACAGGGAAGAUUAAUUAGCAUGGCCCCUGCACAAAGGAUAACAUGCAAAUUCAUAAGGCAUUCCAUAUUUAA
ensembl:snRNA U6 U6 spliceosomal RNA